rnacentral:misc_RNA from 1 species
CCGCCAUUGCCGAACAACCAUGCUCUUGAAGCCCUUCAACACCGUCGCCGUCGUAUUCAUGCUCGCUUUCGCAUUCUUCAUCAUCUUCUUCACUGGCUUCCUCGAAUUUCCACCGGCAUCCACUUCCCUCGCACCGCCCACCGACGAUCUGAAUCUCUCCGCACCCAAAUUCGCUUCCGAACCUUUCACUGAUUUGAUCACCGCCUUUAAGAAAUGGGACUCUCAGGUGGGUUGUGAUCGGUUCCGGGAGAAAAUUGGCGGCGGUUUGGGGAAUGGCUCUUCGUCGGGUUCGCUGCAGCAAGUCGGCGGCGACUCUAAUUCGGAAUGUGGG